UACGUAGGGGGCUAGCGUUGUCCGGAAUCAUUGGGCGUAAAGAGCGUGUAGGCGGCUCGGUAAGUCCGCUGUGAAAGUCCAGGGCUCAACCCUGGAAUGCCAGUGGAAACUGUCGAGCUAGAGUCCGGAAGAGGCGAGUGGAAUUCCUGGUGUAGCGGUGAAAUGCGCAGAUAUCAGGAGGAACACCAAUGGCGGAGGCAGCACUCUGGGACGUGACUGACGCUGAGACGCGAAAGCGUGGGGAGCAAACAGG
rnacentral:rRNA from 1 species